AGGGAAAGGGGACGGGAACCCUGGCGAGGAGGAGCGUCCCCCGACUCCACGCUGAGCUUUCUGGGUGGGCUCCUUUCUCUGAGCCCCGCCGAUGCAUCAGCGCCUUGGCCCAAGGGAGGGGGGCCGGGGGUGGAGCUCACGGCCUACCCACAUGCUCCCGUCUGGAGGCCCCAGUGGGUCGUGGGCAGCAAGUUUCCCUUCACACAGGGGAAGACCCUGGUUCCAGCCUGAACAUCCCCUGUGGCCACUGUUCUUAGCAUUUACCAGGUGUGUCUAAUGAGUGUUUUCUGCACCAAUAAUCAUGCUAACAGCGCUUACAACGUGCCAGGCUAGGUUAAGAGCUCUCCUUUUAUCAAUAAUUCACCGAUCCCCAGCCUCCACUCCUCGGAGGAUACUGUUCUAUCUGCUUCCUUCAAGUGGGGAAACCAAGGCAGAGUCACUAGGCCAAUAUUUACUAAACAAACAAUAUUUGCUACUGCUGUGAAAGGGGGCCACUGGGGCCUCCAGCUCUUCGGUCUCUAGCGUACGCCAGCCCUUGCUUGUAGGCGGUGACCCGCCCCGGGCUACGGGUUCCCGUGAUUCGUACCAAGCCAUUCCCCCGCAGUUUCCCGCGACAGGAGCUCCACGGGUGGGUUCAGAGCUCGCACGGCUGCGAACCCGGC
ensembl:lncRNA novel transcript, antisense to IER2